rfam:Pristionchus pacificus strain PS312 contig8032, whole genome shotgun sequence.
UCUCCAUUCCUCACGCUAUCUCGUCUCUCGGACUGGCGAGAGAGUGUGCGAAAUGGAGAGA